rnacentral:rRNA from 1 species
CACGGAGGAUGCAAGCGUUAUCCGGAAUGAUUGGGCGUAAAGCGUCCGCAGGUGGCUGUGUAAGUCUGCUGUUAAAGAGCAAAGCUUAACUUUGUAAAAGCAGUGGAAACUACACAGCUAGAGUGCGUUCGGGGCAGAGGGAAUUCCUGGUGUAGCGGUGAAAUGCGUAGAGAUCAGGAAGAACACCGGUGGCGAAGGCGCUCUGCUAGGCCGCAACUGACACUGAGGGACGAAAGCUAGGGGAGCGAAUGGG